CGGGGUUCAAGCCGGAGGCCAUGUCCAUGGCGGACCCCGAGUCCUCUUCUUCGUGCAACCUUUCCGCCUACUGCACGCACCGGACGGACGGCUGUUUUCCCAGCGACACGGAAUCCUGAGGGCACGCCAUGACGGCCUCAUCGCAUCAUCAUCAUAUCUCUGGCGACGUCUGGCGGGGGUCGAGGCACCCUGCGACGAAGCGAUCGCUGCCGUCCAGCACUGUCAAGGAUGUCGCCCUCUAGGCUAUGAAUCGUCCGUGCUCCCAGCUCACACACACCGGGAGGCAUUGCCCCUCCAGCCUCCUUGGGGUCGCACAGUUCCUCUCACGUUGCUGACCAGUGACUCACAGUGACCAAAGACAAUUCGGGAACAAUGACUCUUUGCUCGGCGCACCGACGAACCAAGUGCUCCGUUUCAGACUUAAAGCGGCGGUUGUGACAUUGAACGCUGGACGCUCGACGUCCACUGCCUGGCGUCUUCCGGUGAUAAGUGUUUUCUCACACGGUUCUGUUCGUCCAAAAAAUACAUCCUUAUAUAUUACUGUAUAUAUAAUAAUAAAAAAACUCCAUGCUUUU